rnacentral:tRNA from 1 species
AAAGAUUUAGUUAAAUUUUUAUAACAUUAGAAUGUCAAACUAAAAUUAUUCUAUGAAUAAUCUUUU